rnacentral:tRNA from 1 species
GGACGGGUGGCCGAGUGGUUUAAGGCAGCGGUCUUGAAAACCGCCGUACCGGCAACGGUACCGUGAGUUCGAAUCUCACCCCGUCCGCCA